CCCAUAACGAGCGCAACCCCUAUCAUUAGUUGCCAUCAGGUCAAGCUGGGGACUCUAAUGAAACUGCCUACGCAAGUAGUGAGGAAGGUGGGAUGACGUCAAAUCAGCACGGCCCUUACGUCCAGGGCUACACACGUGCUACAAUGGCCGGUACAAAGGGCAGCUACCUGGUGACAGGAUGCUAAUCUCAAAAGCCGGUCUCAGUUCGGAUUGAAGUCUGCAACUCGACUUCAUGAAGCUGGAAUCGCUAGUAAUCGUGGAUCAGCCAAGCCGCGGUGAAUACGUUCCCGGGCCUU
rnacentral:rRNA from 1 species